rnacentral:rRNA from 1 species
GAUGAACGCUGGCGGCGUGCCUAACACAUGCAAGUCGAGCGAGGGUUUGUUCAGUAUUGAGUAUUCUAACAACUAGAAUGUUCAAUUCUGAGCAAAACCAAGCGGCGGACGGGUGAGUAACGCGUGGGUAACCUGCCCUAUACACAUGGAUAACAUACUGAAAAGUUUACUAAUACAUGAUAAUAUAUAUUUGCGGCAUCGCAGAUAUAUCAAAGUGUUAGCGGUAUAGGAUGGACCCGCGUCUGAUUAGCUAGUUGGUGAGAUAACUGCCCACCAAGGCGACGAUCAGUAGCCGACCUGAGAGGGUGAUCGGCCACAUUGGAACUGAGACACGGUCCAAACUCCUACGGGAGGCAGCAGUGGGGAAUAUUGCACAAUGGGCGAAAGCCUGAUGCAGCAACGCCGCGUGAACGAUGAAGGUCUUCGGAUCGUAAAGUUCUGUUGCAGGGGAAGAUAAUGACGGUACCCUGUGAGGAAGCCCCGGCUAACUACGUGCCAGCAGCCGCGGUAAUACGUAGGGGGCUAGCGUUAUCCGGAUUUACUGGGCGUAAAGGGUGCGUAGGUGGUCCUUCAAGUCGGUGGUUAAAGGCUACGGCUCAACCGUAGUAAGCCGCCGAAACUGGAGGACUUGAGUGCAGGAGAGGAAAGUGGAAUUCCCAGUGUAGCGGUGAAAUGCGUAGAUAUUGGGAGGAACACCAGUAGCGAAGGCGGCUUUCUGGACUGCAACUGACACUGAGGCACGAAAGCGUGGGUAGCAAACAG